UGGGGAAUAUUGGACAAUGGGCGAAAGCCUGAUCCAGCCAUGCCGCGUGUGUGAAGGUCUUCGGAUUGUAAAGCACUUUAAGUUGGGAGGAAGGGCAGUAAGCGAAUACCUUGCUGUUUUGACGUUACCGACAGAAUAAGCACCGGCUAACUCUGUGCCAGCAGCCGCGGUAAUACAGAGGGUGCAAGCGUUAAUCGGAAUUACUGGGCGUAAAGCGCGCGUAGGCGGCUAAUUGAGUCGGAUGUGAAAUCCCCGAGCUUAACUUGGGAAUUGCAUUCGAUACUGGUUAGCUAGAGUGUGGGAGAGGAUGGUAGAAUUCCAGGUGUAGCGGUGAAAUGCGUAGAGAUCUGGAGGAAUACCGAUGGCGAAGGCAGCCAUCUGGCCUAACACUGACGCUGAGGUACGAAAGCAUGGGGAGCAAACAGG
rnacentral:rRNA from 1 species